rnacentral:rRNA from 1 species
CCCCUGGAACGGGGCGCCACAGAGGGUGAGAGCCCCGUAUAGUUGGACGCCUAGCCUGUGUAAAGCUCCUUCGACGAAUCCAGUAGUUUGGGAAUGCUGCUCAAAAUGGGAGGUAAAUUUCUUCUAAAGCUAAAUACCGGCCAGAGACCGAUAGCGCACAAGUAGAGUGAUCGAAAGAUGAAAAGCACUUUGAAAAGAGGGUUAAACAGCACGUGAAAUUGUUGAAAGGGAAGCGCUUGUGACCAGACUCGCGCCGGGCUGAUCAUCCGGUGUUCUCACCGGUGCACUCUGCCCGGCUCGGGCCAGCAUCGGUUCCUGCGGGGGGAUAAAGGCUCCGGGAACGUAACUCCUCCGGGAGUGUUAUAGCCCGGGGCGCAAUGCCCCCGCGGGGACCGAGGACCGCGCUCUGCAAGGAUGCUGGCGUAAUGGUCACCAGCCACCCCUCUUGAA